GUGCCAGCAGCCGCGGUAAUACCCGCAGCUCAAGUGGUGGUCAUUAUUAUUGGGCCUAAAGCGUCCGUAGCAGGCUUGUUAGAUGCCUGGGUAAAUCGAUGCGCUUAACGCAUCGAAUUCCGGGUAGACCGGCAAGCUCGAGACCGGGAGAGGCGUGAGCUACUCAAGGGGUAGGGGUAAAAUCCUGUAAUCCUUUGGGGAGGACCAGUGGCGAAGGCGUCACGCUAGAACGGCUCUGACUGUGAGGGACGAAGCCCUGGGGCGCAAACCGGAUUAGAAACCCCUGUAGUCC
rnacentral:rRNA from 1 species